UCAAGCUUGUGUAAUAACGUAGACAUACGUUUAGCCUGCGUUCCACGGCAUAUCCUAAUGCAAUGUUGCGAUUACGUCAACUAUCAGGCUGUAAGUAAACUAGGACCACGAAGUUAAAAAUAUGUUUGGCAUUGGUUGCAAUGUGCAUGUACACUCCAUUAAAUUAAGCCUAACUACUGCUAUGUACACAACAUCACAGGAUUGUUGAUUAGAAAUUAUGGUAAAGUGCCAACUAUUAAUGACGCAAGGAACGCAACUUUCUUAUGCAAGAGUCCCCAGGUCAACGAUCUACCUCCUGCUGUCUAUCAGGCUGUCCUAUAGCUUCUGCUCUCAGAUACUAUAAGGUGCCAUGCCGACACGCUAUGGCUUGGAAACGUCUUUUCGUUUCGCUCGGAAAUUUUUAUGUUGCGUCAUCGUUUGCAUCGCGUGCAUUCAAAAAAACAGCUAAUGGCACUUUCUCGCAAACAAGAAACUUUGAAGUCGAAAUUUUCUGCAAAUAUUGCUCUGAUCGUGAAAGAGGAGAAUUUUGCGUGUCAAAAUCAUCUUCUCAAACAG